AUUAUAUACCGUUCAAUUAAGGUAUCGCAAAGAUAGCAAGCCAUUGUGCCACUGCGAAUGUUAUUAAGGCAAGCCAUUGUGCCACUCCCAGUGUUAUUAAGACAAGCCACUGCCAAUUUUAUUAAGACAAGCCGCUGUGCCACUGCCAAUGAAAUAAAAAUAAGUCUUUGUGUGGACGAUGGCUACAUUUAGGUAAGUUUUCCUUUUCUCUUUCCCCCUCUCCCUUCCCUGUGUUUAUCUGUUUAAUUGGGUUUCUUUUUCUUUUUUAGAUAUCUCUAUACAUUAACAUGGUCACAUUAACGAUAACUUCAGUCAACAAAAGUACUCAAAAUAGAACAAUUUUGGUAUGUUGCUACGUCUUAUUACUAUCUAGUCAUGUCACGAACAAAGCUCGGACUGUAUGGCUUAUAAAAUUCAUGUUACAUUAUACUUAAUUGCAUCCACUAAUACUGUUGCAUUAAUAUUUACAGAUAUCAGACGUAUACAAUAAUAUGCCUUUCAUUUGCUGCCGGACAACAUUGAUGGAUAAAUUAUAUUGAAUGAUGUAUCAUCUUAUGUCAAGGAAUAUUCGAAAAUGA